UACGAAGGGAGCUAGCGUUGUUCGGAAUCACUGGGCGUAAAGCGCACGUAGGCGGAUGUGUCAGUCAGGGGUGAAAUCCCGGAGCUCAACUUCGGAACUGCCUUUGAUACAGCACGUCUUGAGUCCGAUAGAGGUGGGUGGAAUUCCUAGUGUAGAGGUGAAAUUCGUAGAUAUUAGGAAGAACACCGGUGGCGAAGGCGGCCCACUGGAUCGGUACUG
rnacentral:rRNA from 1 species